UCCGAUGUGGUGUAGUGGCUAACAUUGCUGUCUUUCAUAUCAGUGAUCCUAUGGACGUACACAGCAGCCCGGGGUUCGAUUCCCCGCAUCGGAA